UCAAGCAGGCAGAAGUUACCCUUCGCACGAGCGAGGGGAGGAAAGUCCGGGCUUUCUCUUGACAUAAUGUCAGGAUAAAAAAGUAGCGGCUAACAGCCGUCCGCCGCGAGGCGCGAGGUGCGAACAGCGACGUCCAAAACCGAAAGGAAUUGGAUAUCCCGUCAGGGAUAAAUCUUAAUGGCAACAUUGAGAAUGAAACGGCUAAAUCCUUACUGGAUGCAAGAUCAAACUUAUGAGAUGCAAGCUUGUCUCGUAGAGAAAAGUAGAUCGCUAGAUCCCGACGGUAACGUCGGGACCAGAUAGAUGACUUCCAAUACAGAACCCGGCUUAUUACCUGCUUGCCCCC
rnacentral:RNase_P_RNA from 5 species